UACCAUCACUGUGGACAACUCUGGAACUUUCAACACUCCAGCUGCAACUUGCUUCAUAUAAACAAAUCCAAACUUCAAUGUUUCCCAUUAAAUUUCGGUGUCAUUCAGCGAAAAGACAGCUAUCGGAAUCUAUCCAAAGGUAGAUUCAUCCAUUGCCUCAGAAAUUUCCGCUUCUCUUUGCAUAUAGAUAUUGGGUUAAAUAUCUGUUUGGCUUGUUGAUUCCUUGAUCUUCUGGAUUUCUCCUUCUCCCUCUGAAUUCCCAUCCCCCCUAUUUGGUUCCUGAGAAACCAGCUGAAUUCGAACCUUGGGGAUUAUAUAUAUAUAGAUAUACAUACAGAUAAGGUAAGUAAAGCUCCUCAAUUUGCGUGUGAUUGUUCAUCGGUAGGUUGUAAUAUUGGUUUCCAAGGUUCGAAUUCGUGUUGGGUUCGUCUUGAUCCUGCAAGGUUUUAGCUUAUAUGGUUAGAUUCAUGGGUUUGUUCACCUUUGUGUUCUUCAAUGCCUGAAAAGAACAGAGCUUUGUUCUGCAUUAAUGGCGGAAUUUGAAAGCUUUUUGAGAAAAGUCUUUGAAUUGGGUGAAUUUCUUUUGUUGGAUGAUGGUUGAGGUUCAUAGUUUACCUGAAAAGAACAGAGAUUUUAUUCGAAUGGGGUUCGUGUUUGGAUUCAUGAACUCCGGCUGUUCAAGCCCCUACAUGUUCGAUUGCUUUCUGGUGUUCUCGUUGAUAGUUUUUCUUCAUGGUCAUGUCUGCUCUAUGUAUUGAUCUAAUGGGAUAUGCGAUGGUUUGUUUGUAAGUAUGGCCAUAAGGUCGAAUCUGAUUCGUGAGUUUUCGAUAUAUGUACUCAAGCUGUUUGAACUUCGAACCCAGAUGCUUGAUUGUCUCCUGGUGAUCUUGUUGAUAGUUCUCUUUAUGUGUGAAGUUUGGUCAAUGCAAUUGAUCUAACGGUAGAUGAGUUGUGUUCAUUCAUUUAUCACCAUAAGAUCGAAUCUGAUUCGUGUUUUCCGAUACACAAACUCGAAUUCUCCUGUGCAGGAUCUUAGAGGAAUUAUAUGGAUAUAGAAGUACCACAAAGCAAACAGGUUUUAUCUCCUGAGGAGGCCACACGUGAGGCACUCAUCGGUAUCUCAAAUUCGGACAAUGCUGCUUCCGAGACCUUGAUCAGCUACAAAGAUGGAUCUGGAAAAGGCGUGAAUAACCUCGGUGGGAAAGAGAAGUACAUGUACGAACUCAUCUCCAUUUCGAACAGCCAGUCACCCGAUUCUGCAACUUAUCCAGUUGUUGCAGCACCUGCUGUGGAUUCUGUAAACCAUAAGUGUUACUGAAACCCUUGAAUGUGUUACUGAAACUUAAAGCACCCCCCAUGUGAAAUGGUCUUAUUGUACUAGUACUCUAGCUAUGUAUUAUAGUACUAUUAUGUUGAUGGAACAUCAACUUAGAAUGGCUGUUCUUUCUCUAUACCAGCUGUUUAAUUGCAGAUGGGUUGUUUACUACUGUCAACCGAUGUUAUAUAAUCAGUUAUAAACCUCUCUCCCAACAACUUGAGUUAUUGGGAUGCAAUGGUUCUUUCCCAAGUACCUAAUUCGAGCUAUUCGAACCCACAUGUUUGAUUUGUAUGUGUUGAUGACUGGGGUCGAGUUCUUUUGAUCUUUGAACCCGAUAUGUUUAACAGCCCUAUGGUUUGAUUGCCUUUUAUGUUUGCCCUACUCUUAUGCAUUGGUCUGAAAUUCAACAUGGGUUGUGUGUUAAUUCUCCUGUGCAGGGUUUCAGAGAAUUAUAUAGAUGCAGAAGCACCGUGGCGCAAUGUAGUUUCGUGUUCUAGGGAGGCGACACGGGAGGCACUCAUUGCAAUAUCGUAUUCGGUACCGGAUAAUGCUGCUGAGACCGUGAGCUACAAAGGUGGAAAAGGAGUGGUGGAUGGAAGAGGUGGAAUCGAGAAGUACAGGAACGAACUGAUCUCGAUUUCGGACNNNNNN
rnacentral:lncRNA from 1 species